rnacentral:rRNA from 1 species
GGCAGGCCUAACACAUGCAAGUCGAACGGUAACAUUUCUAGCUUGCUAUAAGAUGACGAGUGGCGGACGGGUGAGUAAUGCUUGGGAACUUGCCUUUGCGAGGGGGAUAACAGUUGGAAACGACUGCUAAUACCGCAUAAUGUCUUCGGACCAAACGGGGCUUAGGCUCCGGCGCAAAGAGAGGCCCAAGUGAGAUUAGCUAGUUGGUAAGGUAAUGGCUUACCAAGGCGACGAUCUCUAGCUGUUCUGAGAGGAAGAUCAGCCACACUGGGACUGAGACACGGCCCAGACUCCUACGGGAGGCAGCAGUGGGGAAUAUUGCACAAUGGGGGAAACCCUGAUGCAGCCAUGCCGCGUGUGUGAAGAAGGCCUUCGGGUUGUAAAGCACUUUCAGUUGUGAGGAAAAGUUAGUAGUUAAUACCUGCUAGCCGUGACGUUAACAACAGAAGAAGCACCGGCUAACUCCGUGCCAGCAGCCGCGGUAAUACGGAGGGUGCGAGCGUUAAUCGGAAUUACUGGGCGUAAAGCGCACGCAGGCGGUUUGUUAAGCUAGAUGUGAAAGCCCCGGGCUCAACCUGGGAUGGUCAUUUAGAACUGGCAGACUAGAGUCUUGGAGAGGGGAGUGGAAUUCCAGGUGUAGCGGUGAAAUGCGUAGAUAUCUGGAGGAACAUCAGUGGCGAAGGCGACUCCCUGGCCAAAGACUGACGCUCAUGUGCGAAAGUGUGGGUAGCGAACAGGAUUAGAUACCCUGGUAGUCCACACCGUAAACGCUGUCUACUAGCUGUGUGUGACUUUAAGACGUGCGUAGCGAAGCUAACGCGCUAAGUAGACCGCCU